rnacentral:rRNA from 1 species
ACUCCUACGGGAGGCAGCAGUGGGGAAUAUUGCACAAUGGGGGAAACCCUGAUGCAGCCAUGCCGCGUGUGUGAAGAAGGCCUUCGGGUUGUAAAGCACUUUCAGUAGGGAGGAAGGUAGUGUAGUUAACACCUGCAUUAUUUGACGUUACCUACAGAAGAAGCACCGGCUAACUCCGUGCCAGCAGCCGCGGUAAUACGGAGGGUGCGAGCGUUAAUCGGAAUUACUGGGCGUAAAGCGCAUGCAGGCGGCCUGUUAAGUCAGAUGUGAAAGCCCGGGGCUUAACCUCGGAAUUGCAUUUGAAACUGGCAGGCUAGAGUCUUGUAGAGGGGGGUAGAAUUUCAGGUGUAGCGGUGAAAUGCGUAGAGAUCUGAAGGAAUACCAGUGGCGAAGGCGGCCCCCUGGACAAAGACUGACGCUCAGAUGCGAAAGCGUGGGGAGCAAACAGGAUUAGAUACCCUUGUAGCACAGAG